CCUACGGGAGGCAGCAGUGAGGAAUAUUGGUCAAUGGCCGGAAGGCUGAACCAGCCAUGCCGCGUGAAGGUCAGUGCCCUAUGGGCGUUAAACUUCUUUUGUGCGGGAGCAAUAAUGGUCACGUGUGGCCAGACGAGAGUACCGUACGAAUAAGCAUCGGCUAACUCCGUGCCAGCAGCCGCGGUAAUACGGGGGAUGCAAGCGUUAUCCGGAUUUAUUGGGUUUAAAGGGUGCGUAGGCUGUGAGGUAAGUCAGCGGUGAAAUGCCCCCGCUCAACGGGGUGAAGUGCCAUUGAUACUGCCAUGCUGGAAUGCGGAUGCCGUGGGAGGAAGGUGUGGUGUAGCGGUGAAAUGCAUAGAUAUCACACAGAACACCAAUUGCGAAGGCAUCUCACGAAUCCGCGAUUGACGCUGAUGCACGAAAGCGUAGGUAUCAAACAGGAUUAGAUACCCUUGUAGUC
rnacentral:rRNA from 1 species